rnacentral:rRNA from 1 species
UAGUAUAUCUUAUUGAGUAUAUUUUGAGAAAUAACUUUGUGUUUGGUACAGAUUAUGAAUUGAAUUGGUUAAUUUAGAAGUACAGUAAUGGACGAUAAAAUAAUUGAAAUAUGGGUUAGGUUUGUAGCAGAGUUGUUUUGUACCUUUUGUAUCAGGGUGGUAUUAUUUUUAUACUAUAUAGUUAAGUCCCGAAGUUAGACGAGUUAAUAAUUGAAUUAUUCUUUAUGUGACAUAAUGAUGUUUAAUGAUUAUUAGUGGUGAUAUUCUAUUCGCGUUUUAAGAUAUCUGGUUGUUAAGGAAAUUGGUUUAAUCAAGCUGUAUUAUUGUUUUACACUAGUUUAGUGGUGGAUUUGGUUUACAGUCAUUUUAUGGGGGUUUAUCUCAAUAAAAAUAAGUAGUAUUGAAUUGUGUCUGUAGUUAUUUAGGCUUAGAAGUAGCCAUAAUUGUAUUGUGUUUUAACUUAUUGUUUUUAAUGUUAUUUUUCUUUACUCUUUUUGUACUUAACUUUAGUGUUAAUUUUGUCUGUUGUUGUUAAUGUAUUAAUUAGUAAGUUUAUUGUAUUUGAUUUUAGUAUAAUGUUAUUAUUUAGUUAGGAAUUCGGCAAAUAUAGGUUCUGCCUGUUUAUCAAAAACAUGUCUCCUAGAGGUAAUUGGGAGUCUGGCCUGCCCGCUGAGGAUUGAAGGGCUGCAGUAAUUUGACUGUACAAAGGUAGCAUAAUCAAUAGUCUUUUAAAUGAAGGCUGGUAUGAAUGGCUUGACAAGAACUUUCCUGUCUUAUUAAUGAGACCAUAAUUUGACUUGACAGUUAAAAGGCUGUCAUAGGUAUAUGGGACGAUAAGACCCUAUAGAGCUUAACAUGGUAAUUUGUUGUGGGUGGUAUGUUUUACUGGGGCGGUGAGGGGAAAUGACUAUCUUCCUUGUGUUUAAUUUUGAUGUAAAUUUGUUUUGAUCCAUUGGUUGUGAUUAUAAGUCUAAGUUACCUUAGGGAUAACAGCGUAAUCUUAUUUGAGAGUUCAUAUCGACAAUAAGGGUUGCGACCUCGAUGUUGGGUUAAGAUUCCUUUGUGGUGUAGCAGUUAAUGAAGGAAGUCUGUUCGACUUUUAAAUUCUUACAUGAUCUGAGUUCAGACCGGCGUGAGCCAGGUUGGUUUCUAUCUAUAUAUGUGGUAGUAUUCUUUUAGUACGAAAGGGACGGGGAGUAGGGUAAUAGCUUAAUUGAUUGAGUACACGUAUUAUCUUGGCAGAAUAGUGUGUUAGAUUUAGGAGCUAAUAAUGUAGUAAAUACAGAUAAUAGGCUAGAGGUACAGGGAAGUGGUGGUGAAUACGCGGGGUAACCGUGAGGGUUGGUGAGGGGGAAAGUGGCGGUGGUCAACACAGGCUGGUAAGAGGAGGGUGAGUAUUGAAAGUGAGUAGAUGGGG